rnacentral:rRNA from 1 species
UACGUAGGUGACAAGCGUUGUCCGGAUUUACUGGGCGUAAAGAGCGCGCAGGCGGUCGAUCAAGUCGAGUGUGAAAGCCCCCGGCUCAACUGGGAGGGUCAUUCGAUACUGAUCGACUCGAAGGCAGGAGAGGGUAGUGGAAUUCCCGGUGUAGUGGUGAAAUGCGUAGAUAUCGGGAGGAACACCAGUGGCGAAGGCGACUACCUGGCCUGUUCUUGACGCUGAGGCGCGAAAGCUAGGGAGCAACGGG